rnacentral:other from 20 species
GUCCAGCCCUCCCAGAGAGGAUUCAGGUCUUUCGAAUU